rnacentral:misc_RNA from 1 species
GUGAAUCAUCGAAUUUUUGAACGCAGAUUGCACUCUCCUCGGAGAGGAUGCCUGUGUGAGGGUCAGCCUAUAAAAAAUCGACAUCGUUGCUGUGGCACGGUGACGUGCGGCGGAAAGUGGGUCAUCUUAAAUCUGGUGGGUAUAAGCGACUUAAAAUUUGCAGUAUGGUUACAUGAAGGUAUCGAAGAUUUAUGUCUUUACACGUUUAAGGUAUAGAUUUUGAUUAGACGUGACGAUCAUAGCGGAUAGAGUC